rnacentral:lncRNA from 1 species
AUGGAAAGUGAUGGAAUGCCUCUGGAUACUCCAGGUUUGUCAUUGGUAACCAGGUGCAGUAACACAUGAAAAGUCAAACAAACAUUGUCCCACAGCAACAAUCGCUACAGAAGUGACAUUUAUUGACAUUCUGCUGUAUUUACAGGUUGAACAUAGUAAAACUCCAAAGUGAAUGACCACUUGGCAGAAAGCACAGGAGUGCACAUUAAAUCUACAUUUCCAACGCAUCAGAGUCUCUGCUAACACAAAUUAUAAAAGCAAGAAUUACAGGUAUGUUAGGAAUUGUCUCAAAAGUCCCAAGCCAAAGAAAAAAGAAAGGCCUUUGUUUUGCAAGAUGGUUUUUAUACAAAGUUGCAACAUGAUCUUUCAGUUUUACACUACAGACUCGUUCUGUGAAAACCCCUGGAGAGCCCAAACAGUUGGUGGUGCGAAAGGAAAGGAUACUACAACACCGAGAAUAAAGACUGUUAAAAGUUAAUACUUGUGCCACCUCUAAAUUCCCAAUGCCACCUCUGAGUCUGGACUGCAGCAAGCUCUGUUCCUCCACAGGCCCCCAGUGCUGGGAUUGCAGGAGCACAGCCACCCUGCACUGCCAGCUCAGCUCCAGAGCCACCCCCAACAGCACAUGGGGACAGGGAUGGACAGGGAUGGACACAGGGACAGGGAUGGACAGGGAUGGACAGGGAUGGACAGGGAUGGACAGGGAUGGACAGGAGAGGACACAGAGCACACGGAGAUACAUGGGCUGUACAGGACACAGAGCACACACAGACUGUCCAGGACAGGGUGACACUGCACAGGACACAGUGUCACACCCUGCACAGGACAGUGUCACACCCUGCACAGGACAGUGUCAAACAGCACAGGACAGUGUCACACAGCACAGGACAGUGUCACCCUGCACAGAACAGUGUCACACAAUGCACAGGACAGUGUCACACCCUGCACAGGACAGUGUCACACCCUGCACAGGACAGUGUCAAACAGCACAGGACAAUGUCACUAUGCACAGGACAGUGCCACACCCUGCACAGGACAGUGUCACCCUGCACAGGACAGUGUCAAACAGCACAAGACAGUGCCACACCCUGCACAGGACAGUGUCACCCUGCACAGGACAGUGUCACAAUGCACAGGACAGUGUCACACCCUGCUCAGCACAGGCACAGCUCCCAGGCUGGAGGAGGAACUAA